rnacentral:rRNA from 1 species
UACGUAGGGAGCGAGCGUUGCCCGGAUUUACUGGGCGUAAAGAGCUCGUAGGCGGCCUCUUCAGUCUCACGCGAAAUACUGCGGCUCAACCGGGGAAGGGCGUGGGAUACUGGGAGGCUGGAGGGCCGAAGAGGGGAGUGGAAUUCCCGGUGUAGCGGUGAAAUGCGUAGACAUCGGGAGGAACACCAGUGGCGAAGGCGGCUCUCUGGACUAUCCCUGACGCUGAGGCGCGAAAGCCAGGGGAGCAAACCGG